rnacentral:rRNA from 1 species
GACGUAGGGCGCGAGCGUUGUCCGGAUUUAUUGGGCGUAAAGAGCUCGUAGGCGGCUUGUUGCGUCGACUGUGAAAACCCGCGGCUUAACUGCGGGCUUGCAGUUGAUACGGGCAGGCUAGAGUUCGGUAGGGGAGACUGGAAUUCCUGGUGUAGCGGUGAAAUGCGUAGAUAUCAGGAGGAAUACCGAUGGCGAAGGCAGGUCUCUGGGCUAUAACUGACGCUCAUGCACGAAAGCGUGGGGAGCAAACAGG